ACAGGAGCUGCUGCCGGGCAGAAGAAAAGCAGGGCAGGCUGGCUCCCAGGCCUCAGGGUGGGGAUGGCAGUGGGAAUGAAGCACCUGUAACUGGGCCCUUCCUGCCCUAAUGUUCAGGGGGCCCUACCCCUCGUGAGCUUGUCUUAUUAAGAACCCUCAAAAGGCCUAAGUUAACCAGCAGGUCCAAAGGUCCCAAGGAACAAGGUCAGAGACGCCAGGGAAAAGAGCCUCUCCUGGUGCCUUAGGAAUCAGACGCCAAUAAACCACAGAGCCCAGCA
rnacentral:lncRNA from 1 species